rnacentral:rRNA from 1 species
CCUACGGGUGGCAGCAGUGGGGAAUAUUGGACAAUGGGGGCAACCCUGAUCCAGCCAUGCCGCGUGUGUGAAGAAGGCCCUCGGGGUGUAAAGCACUUUCAGUGAGGAAGAACGCCUGGUGGUUAAUACCCAUCAGGAAAGACAUCACUCACAGAAGAAGCACCGGCUAACUCCGUGCCAGCAGCCGCGGUAAUACGGAGGGUGCGAGCGUUAAUCGGAAUUACUGGGCGUAAAGCGCGCGUAGGUGGCUUGAUAAGCCGGUUGUGAAAGCCCCGGGCUCAACCUGGGAACGGCAUCCGGAACUGUCAAGCUAGAGUGCAGGAGAGGAAGGUAGAAUUCCCGGUGUAGCGGUGAAAUGCGUAGAGAUCGGGAGGAAUACCAGUGGCGAAGGCGGCCUUCUGGACUGACACUGACACUGAGGUGCGAAAGCGUGGGUAGCAAACAGGAUUAGAUACCCUAGUAGUC